UAUCGCGUAGCGUUUAAAGUUGAUUUAAUUUUACUUACAAUUUUGCUGUAAAAAGUUGCCCAUGAGGAUUUAAUUAUGGCAUACGAAGAUUCCAUGUUUAUACCACCUUGGCACAUUUGGACAGCUGAUUUUAUUAACAAUGAAAAAUGGGAUCGAUACAAAGAUAUGCUGGAAUUUACACAUCCUGGUGGUCAUGAACAAUUACCCAAAGAAAUAACAAAAUUGGUCAAAGAAUGGAAAAGACCAAAUGAAUUAUUCGGGACAGAUGAUUUGGUUAUUCUGCCAGAUGAUGACACCAAUGAUGUUCUAAAACUAAUGACUACUAAUAAACCUUUGAUGAACGUUAAAUUUUGUUCUAGAGAGGAAGAACUAUUCACCACUUCUUCCAAAAGAAAAUUAUACAAAUGGAUUUUGUUUCAUGUAAUAAUGUACAUUCAUCGAUUUCAAAAUAAGUCACCAAUACCUUGGCACCCAUGUAGUAUUAUUUUUUCGCGGUGCAAAGUCGAUGGUACUUGGAAUAAAAAUCCGAAACCAGAAUAUAAUCCUUUUGGAAAAUAUUGGUUAAAACUAUUCUACAUGGGCGAAUUUCGUUUGAUAUGUGUAAGUGAUCACUUACCUAUAUCAAAAAGUGGCCAAAUCUUGUUGCCACUAUGUAAAAAUAAAAAAAAUCUCUGGCUUCCAUUGCUAAUUAAAGGACUUCUGAGAGUUCAUGCCGUUGUUAGAAAUAUUAAUCAAUUCAACACUAUAACUUGUCUAACUGGAUGGACAUGCAUACGUGAAAACUGUUGGAAUUUUCAAAAAAAAGAUCUUUGGUUGGAUCUUAUGGCUCAUAAUCCACGACCAUUAAAAAAUGAUUAUAAAGUAGCUUCAAAAAUAGAAAAUCAUUAUAAACAAACAAAAAUUACUAAUAAAAUAUCUCACAAAGAAUGUUACUCUAUGGAUGAUUCAGAAAAAAAAUGUUUUCACGAGGAUGAUAUUUCACUUUAUCGAGCUAAUCCACCAAACUCAAUCGUCACUUCAAUCUUUUUGUCACCAAGCCCUGUAGAUAGAAUACAAACUUCCUCUUCAACACAUUUUAAUUGUGAACAGUCUAUUCCUAUUUUAAUCAAUUCUGUAGAAAUGUUAAAAAAUGAAGAGGUUCCAACAUGGAAAACAAUUCGUUGGACUAAAUGGGCAGUAGACAACAAUAUUAAGCAACCGCAUGAAAUCAAUGAAUUCCGAAAAACAAUCAAUUUUUGUACACCCUUUACGGCUUUACUAGAUCAAUCAUCUUCUUUGAAAAUUUUAUUAGACAAAUAUCAAAAUACUACAGAUCCUGAACGCAGGGAAAUGGACUUCUUUUAUUUAGAACCGUUUGUCGAAAGUAUAGAAAUUUAUUUCAAAAAAAACGAAGCAUUUCCUUUUGUUAAAUCAAUACAAUUUUUAGAAUUCAAAAACAAUGAACGGGAUCAAUGUGUCUAUAUGCAUAUUGAAUCACAAUACUGCGAGUCUAUUUUAUUCACAUUCACAGCUUGUCAAAAUAUUUCUCUUAAUGGAGGAAUGAUGAUUGCUAAUACUGAAAAUCGAAUCGAAAAUCCUUUUGUUGCAAUAGAAACAUUUCAAUGGUACAAGGUCGAAUUGUCCACUCCUAUUUUGUAUAUUUGGUCCAAGCAUUCAUUUGCGAAUAUUAUUAAAAUCAAAUCUGGAUACACCUUGUUAAGGAUAUGGGGUGAUCUUCCAGAAAUAUAUUCGUUUACUAUUGAAUCAACUGUAGUAUUUACCAUUUAUAAUUCAGAAGAAGAAGUUUUCAGAGCCCUUACUAUUCAGCCUAAAUCGUUGUCAUUAUUUAUUACUAAUGUUCAAAAAGCCUUUACUCAGUUAAGUGUUGCUGAAACCCACACUAAUAAUCAUGAUCAGGCAUUACUACAGUUCUAUUUAUCAUUUAUGCCUACGAUAGGGAUCAAUGAACAAUUUCUAGACAAAGCAAACAGAUGUAAGGACAUUCGAAAACUUGUGCAAGAUGCUAUCAUAAAUUGGGCUACAAAGAACUGUCCUAAAGAUAUCACUAUAAUAGAAAUCUUAACAAAUUUUCAAGAAAUGUUUCAAGAAAGAACUCUAGGAAGAGAUCAAAUAGCACAAAUUUUAGAAAACGAAAGGAAAGAACGAGAUAACUCUCAAAAUAUAAUUAUUGAUGUUCAACCAAGUAAAGAAACAAAAACUAAUGACGACAAAUCAAUUAAUAUGGGUUUAAAAAAAUCGCAAUACACUAAAAACAAAACUACGAUCAAAAGUUCUUCGCCAAAGAAUUCAUUUAAAACUGACAUUAUUAAAGGUAUACAAGACAAUAUGUUUGAUAUAAUAUAGUUCCAAUUAAACACCCACUCAGUGACGAAAAUUUUGGAGAAGAAGAAAUAGUAAAAAAUACUUUAUUUGUCAUAGAAAUAGUAUUAGCAGAGCACAAUAAUAACUCUAUAAUUAACGAAACUCCAAAAUCUGUCCAUGGAGACUGGACAAUCACUUGUGUCUAUGAACAAAAGCUUACUGAUGUCUUUUUGGGAAUAGAUGACACUCAAGAAUAUUCUUAUAAAAGUUCAAUACCUCCCCAAACAAUUAAUCAAUCAGAAUACAAUUCAAUAAUUAAUCGAUAUCAAAAAUCACAAAGAUCUUCAAAUAAUGAUGAUGAAGAUUUUACACCAUCGGUAGAAAAUGUUUCUUCUAAACUAUUUCACAGUGAUAUACUAAACAGCAUCUUAAUAAAUGAGGAUAAAAUUAACAAAUUAAAAGAAGAUGAAAAAUUGCAUCCUUUUCAAACCGAAGAAGAACAAAAUAAUGCAUUAGCUAAUGAGAUAUACAAACAAAAUAAUAACGAACUAUUCAUAAAAAAAAUUUUACAACAAAAUGAAAAAAAUCGUAAAAUUGUAAAUGAAGAAUUAUAUAUGAAUAUGACAAAAUUACUUAAUUUAAAUGCAAAACCGAAAUCACAUUUAAGUGUUUCAAGGUCUCAUUUGAAAAAAACAAAAAUGUAAUGUUUCUUUUGUUUGGCAUUCAGUUUGGCGUACACUAAUUUUGAUAAUCUACAAAUAAUAAAGUUUUAGUAACUGUAUAAGUUAGUAGUUAGCUGUAAAUUUUAUAUUAUAAUAAAUCUUAUAAGAAAUUUUAGAUUGUUAAUGUUAAUGAUUUUCAUCUAUCUUAAUUUACUUAUUGAAUAUAUUUAACCACUCAUGAAUUUAAAAUAUUUAAAAU